rnacentral:lncRNA from 1 species
CUGAUCCAUCGACAUGAAGCUGUUCUUAUCCUUUACCAUUUUAUGCUGUGUUCGGAUAUGCUACUCUGACUUGAGACCAGAAAAUAAUAAUACAUGGCAGGAAAAUAUAUGGUUGCAGAUAGCAAAGGCUUUUAAUUUAACCUCCUUUUGCCUCAACCCUCUCCUCAGUACUGAAAACGCCAUAGAAUCUUGUCUUAUAGCUGUCCCUACCCCC